UACGUAGGCAGCAAGCGUUGUUCGGAGUUACUGGGCGUAAAGGGUGCGUAGGCGGCUUUUUAAGUUUGGUGUGAAAUCUCCCGGCUCAACUGGGAGGGUGCGCCGAAUACUGAGAAGCUAGAGUGUGGGAGAGGAAAGUGGAAUUCCUGGUGUAGCGGUGAAAUGCGUAGAGAUGCGGAGGAACACCGAUGGCGAAGGCAGCCCCCUGGGCUAACACUGACGCUCAGGCACGAAAGCGUGGGGAGCAAACAGG
rnacentral:rRNA from 1 species